rnacentral:tRNA from 1 species
GGGCCUGUCGUCUAACGGAUUAGGACAUGAAUUUUCUAAAUUUACAAUGUAGGUUCGAUUCCUACCGGGCCUA